rnacentral:RNase_P_RNA from 1 species
GGGGAGAGGGGGGGGGGGGAGGAAAGUCCGGGCUCCAUAGGGCAAGGUGCCAGGUAACGCCUGGGGGGUGUCACAGCCCACGACCAGUGCAACAGAGAGAAAACCGCCGAUGGCCCGCGCAAGCGGGAUCAGGUAAGGGUGAAAGGGUGCGGUAAGAGCGCACCGCGCGGCUGGUAACAGUCCGCGGCACGGUAAACUCCACCCGGAGCAAGGCCAAAUAGGGGUUCAUAAGGUACGGCCCGUACUGAACCCGGGUAGGCUGCUUGAGCCAGUGAGCGAUUGCUGGCCUAGAUGAAUGACUGUCCAC